rnacentral:rRNA from 1 species
UGCCUCAGUAACUGCGAGUGAAGCGGCAAAAGCUCAAAUUUGAAAUCUGGUACCUUUGGGUGCCCGAGUUGUAAUUUGGAGAGGCAACUUCGGAGGAGGCGCUGGCCUAAGUUCCUUGGAACAGGACGUCACAGAGGGUGAGAAUCCCGUGCUUGGCUGGCUGUCCUCCUUCAUGUGAAGUGUCUUCGACGAGUCGAGUUGUUUGGGAAUGCAGCUCAAAAUGGGUGGUAAACUCCAUCUAAGGCUAAAUAUUGGCGAGAGACCGAUAGCGCACAAGUAGAGUGAUCGAAAGAUGAAAAGCACUUUGAAAAGAGAGUUAAAAAGUACGUGAAAUUGUUGAAAGGGAAGCGCUUGAGACCAGACUCGGUGAUUGGUGAUCAGCGGUUGCUUUUGCUCCGUGCACUUGCCUUUUACUGGGCCAGCAUCAGUUGUGACGGCGGGAUAAAGACUUAGGGAAUGUGGCUCUCUUCGGGGAGUGUUAUAGCCCUGGGUGUAAUGCCGCCUGUUACGACUGAGGACCGCGCUUCGGCUAGGAUGCUGGCAUAAUGGUCUUCAGCGACCCGUCUUGAAACACGGACCAAGGAGUCUAACAUCUAUGCGAGUGUUCGGGUGUAAAACCCCUACGCGUAAUGAAAGUGAACGGAGGUGGGAACUCUUCGGAGUGCACCAUCGACCGAUCCUGAUGUCUUCGGAUGGAUUUGAGUAGGAGCAUAGCUGUUGGGACCCGAAAGAUGGUGAACUAUGCCU